rnacentral:rRNA from 1 species
AUACUGCUGAGCUAGGGACCGGGAGAGGCCGAGGGUAUUCCCGGGGUAGGGGUGAAAUCCUGUAAUCCCGGGAGGACCACCUGUGGCGAAGGCGCUCGGCUGGAACGGGUCCGACGGUGAGGGACGAAGGCCUGGGGAGCGAACCGGAUUAGAUACCCGGGUAGUCCAGGCUGUAAACGAUGCGGGCUAGGUGUCACCGGAGCUACGAGCUCCGGUGGUGCCGGAGGGAAGCCGUUAAGCCCGCCGCCUGGGAAGUACGGCCGCAAGGCUGAAACUUAAAGGAAUUGGCGGGGGAGCACUACAACGGGUGGAGCCUGCGGUUUAAUUGGAUUCAACGCCGGGAAGCUUACCGGGGGAGACAGCGGGAUGAAGGUCGGGCUGAAGACCUUACCAGACUAGCUGAGAGGUGGUGCAUGGCCGCCGUCAGUUCGUACUGUGAAGCAUCCUGUUAAGUCAGGCAACGAGCGAGACCCGCGCCCUCAGUUGCCAGCGGGUCCCUUCGGGGACGCCGGGCACACUGAGGGGACUGCCGGCGCUAAGCCGGAGGAAGGUGCGGGCAACGGCAGGUCCGUAUGCCCCGAAUCCCCCGGGCUACACACGGGCUACAAUGGCCGGGACAAUGGGUACCGACCCCGAAAGGGGUGGGUAAUCUCCUAAACCCGGUCUAACCUGGGAUCGAGGGCUGCAACUCGCCCUCGUGAACCUGGAAUCCGUAGUAAUCGCGUCUC